UUUAAAACUAGGUAUUUGUGUUGUGUUUAGAUAUUUUUGGCUUCAACACCAAUGAGGAAACAAAUUAACACUGUCACUCUCACGGAUGUGAGUGUGGAUCAGAUGUGGCUUUGGUGUUGGGAGUCGAAGAUUAAUCUAUCGAUCCAUUUGGGAGGUUGGAUAUGGAUUCAUGGUGAUUCAAAUAUCUUUAUUGUUGGUUUGUUUUUUUUAUUUCAUUGAGACACAAUUAAGUUGAGGUUGCAACUAACUUUUUCAAGUGGUUGAAGAGGAAAUGGACGACAGUACUGCCUUCAAAGGUUGUUUGUCUUUGUUUCAUCGUUUGUCUAUAUGGAAUUGAAUGCUCUAAUGAAACGUGUAAUUAUUAAUAAAGACAAUCAUGAUAUAGUUCUAUGUUUUUCUUUUUA